GGCUCGAUGAUUACAGCCCUGUUUGGGCAAUAUACGCUAUUCUGAUUUUUAAUUUAAAGAGGCUGAAACACUUCCGAGAAUGAGAGCU